AGGCCCUUAGUUCAGUUGGUUAGAACAACCCGCUCAUAACGGGUAUGUCGGGGGUUCAAGUCCCUCAGGGCCUACCA
rnacentral:tRNA from 2 species